GGCCUGUGGAUUGAAGGAGAAAAGCAGAUAGGUGAAGACAACCUAUGAAGAACACACACUUGUUAUUGUGCGCCUUAUUGUGCGACUAAUGGCGAACCAAUUGUAGGGUUUCCUUGGCAAGAUUCAGGGGAAGGGGUGUUCGCAUGUCUCUUGGUCUGAAUGGGGUUGCCUCACCAUAAUCCAUGGAUGGUCCAGCUGUUGGCAUUCUUGGGCAGGACACACUCAAACCUGGUGGCCAGAGCCUCCAAAUAAGACACAAAAGGAAGAUAACAUUAAUUUAGAGGAAGCAGGAGUAUAUUUAUUUAUCUAAUUGACAUAAACCAUGUGUAUCCCCUCUAUGCUUCAGCUCAGUCCAAAACCAUUUUAUCAAUCAGUAAUCCCUAGAGUUCCAAUAGAUGUGUUUGAAGAAAUAACUUAUAAUAAUAAUAAUAAUAAUAAUAAUAAUAAUAAUAAUAAUAAUAAUAAAACUUUAUUUAUAUCCCGCCACCAUCUCCCCAACGGGGACUCGGGGCGGCUUACAUGGGGCCAUGCCCAAAACAAUACAAUGUAAACAGCAUAUAAAAAAAGCACAGCACAAAACAAUAAGCAAUACAGUAAAUAAUAUCCAUUACAAAAUAAAACAAGGAGACAAUGAAAACAAGGGCAGACCACAUGAACAUUAAGUUAAAACUCGGGGUGAGAAAGACAUAAAAAUAAAAACCACAGCGAACAGGGUCAUAAGGGAGUGGGGUAUUCUGGAGGAUAGAUAUUAGAGGGAGCAACGGAAAAGAAAUAUAAAAUGGUUACUCUCCAAAAGCACAGCGAAAGAGCCAUGUUUUCAAGUCUUUCUUGAAGGCUGCUAGUGUGGGGGCUUGCCUAAUCUCAGCGGGCAGAGAAUUCCACAAUCGGGGGGCCACAGCAGAAAAGGCCCACCACACUUUGGACUACAAGGAACAAUGCCCCAGAAUCACCAUAAUCAGCUAGUAAUGCCUUCACAGACUUAAAAAUGGACCAAACCAGAAGUGACAGAAGAUGCCCAAUGUCCUCUUUUGUCCUCUUCCUGGGAACCCAUUCAGGUUGACUAACACUCAUUUCUAUGCAUUGUUUCACAAGUAUGGACCAUUGUCCUCACACAUGCCGGGGAAACUACCAUAAUUAGCAUCUAUUACCUCAAACCCACCCACAUUAUUUCCUUCCCAAACUUCAUGAGAGGUGGAACCAGCCACAGCCAGAAAACUUCAAACUGAGCAAUGACAAUCCCACCUUGCCUCUGAUGGGCCCAGAGGCGGAAGCAGACUCACACCUCCUCCAAUACGGCUACGGAUCCUAGCCUACAACUCCCAAGACCAAUGGGAAGCCAGCACGGUGAUUUUAAAUUGUUAUGUAUGGCUGUAAAUAAUGCAUGUCUUCCCAGUUGGGUAUGUCAGUACUUUGAGCACUAGCUUUGCUGAUAUCCUCUUUGGCCAUUGAGAACUCUGCUUUUGACUUCACGACUGUCUGUGCUUCUUGCAACCUUCUGGCUACUUAGCACUCUAAGAUCACAAACCUCACAAUUCAGGGGAGCUGAAAUCACACAACAGAACCAUCAAGGAGUCUUGCAGCAUAUUAAAUAUUUAUUUGAAUUGACUUAUAAAGCAAGGGAAACAAAUUACUUUACCAUUACAUAGCAAUCAUUAUCUGUGUUGAAAUGAGUUGUGAGUUUCUGAGUACUCUGUGUUGCUUUAAAGAAAGCAACUCUACUCCAUCUAAGGCCCCUUCUACACUGCUGUAGAAAAUCUAGAUUAUCUGCUCUGAACUAAAUUAUAUGGCAGUGUAGACUCAUAUGAUCCAGUCCAAAUCAGGUAAUGUGGAUUAUCUGCUUUGAUAAUCUGGAUUAUAAGGCAAUGUAUAAGGAAAUAACGUACACUAUAAAAAAAACAAAGAGAAAGGGGGGAAACAUAUGUUGAACAGUUAAAUCUGUAACUAAGGCCCCCUUCUACACUGCCCUGUAUCCCAGCAUCUGAUCCCAGAUUAUCUGGCAGUGGAGACUCAUAUAAUCCAGUUCAAAACAGAUAAUCUGGGAUUAGAUCCUGGGAUAUAGGGCAAUGUAGAAGUGGCCUUAGAGAAUUGACAGACAUUUGGCCAUGAGGGUUAGCU
rnacentral:lncRNA from 1 species